AUACAAACAACGGUAAGAAUCGACAGGUCAUUGCCCUAUAAGCGGCGAGUGACGAGCGACAGCUCGAUUUGAAAUCUGGCUCUUUCAGAGUCCGAGUUGUAAUUUGCAGAGGGCGCUUUGGCUUUGGCAGCGGUCCCAGUUCCUUGGAACAGGACGUCUCAUAGGGUGAGAAUCCCGUACGUGGUCGCUAGCUAUUGCCGUGUAAAGCCCCUUCGACGAGUCGAGUUGUUUGGGAAUGCAGCUCUAAAUGGGAGGUAAAUUUCUUCUAAAGCUAAAUAUUGGCCAGAGACCGAUAGCGCACAAGUAGAGUGAUCGAAAGAUGAAAAGCACUUUGGAAAGAGAGUCAAACAGCACGUGAAAUUGUUGAAAGGGAAGCGCUUGCAGCCAGACUUGCUUGAGUUGCUCAUCCGGGCUUUUGCCCGGUGCACUCUUCUGUAGGCAGGCCAGCAUCAGUUUGGGCGGUGGGAUAAAGGUCUCUGUCACGUACCUCUCUUCGGGGAGGCCUUAUAGGGGAGACGACUUACCACCAGCCUAGACUGAGGUCCGCGCAUCUGCUAGGAUGCUGGCGUAAUGGCUGUAAGCGGCCCGUCUUGAAACACGGACCAAGGAGUCUAACAUCUAUGCGAGUGUUUGGGUGUCAAGCCCGAUCGCGUAAUGAAAGUGAACGGACGUGGGAACCCGCAAGGGUGCACCAUCGACCGAUCCUGAAGUUUACGGAAGGAUUUGAGUAAGAGCAUGGCUGUUGGGACCCGAAAGAUGGUGAACUAUGCUUGAAUAGGGUGAAGCCAGAGGAAACUCUGGUGGAGGCUCGCAGCGGAUCUGACGUGCAAAUCGAUCGUCAAAUUUGGGCAUAGGGGCGAAAGACUAGUCGAACUAUCUACUAGCUGGUUCCUGCCGAAGUUCCCCCUCAGGAAA
rnacentral:rRNA from 1 species